GUGUCUUGUCUUAGACAUAUCUCUCAUUUUUCAUUUUGUUGCUAUUUCUCUUUGCUCUCCUAGAUGUGGCUCUUCUUUCACGCUUUAUUUCAUGUCUCCUUUUUGGGUCACAUGCUGUGUGCUUUUUGUCCUUUUCUUGUUCUGUCUACCUCUCCUUUCUCUGCCUACCUCUCUUUUCUCUUUGUGAACUGUGAUUAUUUGUUACCCCUUCCCCUUCUCGUUCGUUUUAAAUUUCACCUUUUUUCUGAGUCUGGCCUCCUUUCUGCUGUUUCUACUUUUUAUCUCACAUUUCUCAUUUCUGCAUUUCCUUUCUGCCUCUCUUGGGCUAUUCUCUCUCUCCUCCCCUGCGUGCCUCAGCAUCUCUUGCUGUUUGUGAUUUUCUAUUUCAGUAUUAAUCUCUGUUGGCUUGUAUUUGUUCUCUGCUUCUUCCCUUUCUACUCACCUUUGAGUAUUUCAGCCUCUUCAUGAAUCUAUCUCCCUCUCUUUGAUUUCAUGUAAUCUCUCCUUAAAUAUUUCUUUGCAUAUGUGGGCAAGUGUACGUGUGUGUGUGUCAUGUGUGGCAGAGGGGCUUCCUAACCCCUGCCUGAUAGGUGCAGAACGUCGGCUAUCAGAGCAAGCAUUGUGGAGCGGUUCCUUAUGCCAGGCUGCCAUGUGAGAUGAUCCAAGACCAAAACAAGGCCCUAGACUGCAGUAAAACCCAGAACUCAAGUAGGGCAGAAGGUGGAAGGCUCAUAUGGAUAGAAGGCCCAAAGUAUAAGACAGAUGGUUUGAGACUUGAGACCCGAGGACUAAGAUGGAAAGCCCAUGUUCCAAGAUAGAUAGAAGCCUCAGGCCUGAAACCAACAAAAGCCUCAAGAGCCAAGAAAACAGAGGGUGGCCUGAAUUGGACCGAAGGCCUGAGUUGGAUGGAAGUCUCAAGGCUUGAGUUAGAAGUCUUAAGACCUGGGACAGGACACAUGGAAGGCCUAAGAACUGAGACUUGUGACACAAGGCCAACGACCUAAGAUUAGCCCAGGGUUGUAGCUGGAAGACCUACAACCCAAGGAUGGAAGGCCCCUGUCACAAAGCCUACCUAGAUGGAUAGAGGACCCAAGCGAAAAAGGAGCAGACAUUCAUAUAGGUGAUACUGUAUUUCAGUCCUUUCUUUUGACCCCAGAAGCCCUAGACUGAGAAGAUAAAAUGGUCAGGUUGUUGGGGAAAAAAAAGUGCCAGGCUCUCUAGAGAAAAAUGUGAAGAGAUGCUCCAGGCCAAUGAGAAGAAUUAGACAAGAAAUACACAGAUGUGCCAGACUUCUGAGAAGCACCUGCCAGCAACAGCUUCCUUCUUUGAGCUUAGGUGAGCAGGAUUCUGGGGUUUGGGAUUUCUAGUGAUGGUUAUGGAAAGGGUGACUGUGCCUGGGACAAAGCGAGGUCCCAAGGGGACAGCCUGAACUCCCUGCUCAUAGUAGUGGCCAAAUAAUUUGGUGGACUGUGCCAACGCUACUCCUGGGUUUAAUACCCAUCUCUAGGCUUAAAGAUGAGAGAACCUGGGACUGUUGAGCAUGUUUAAUACUUUCCUUGAUUUUUUUCUUCCUGUUUAUGUGGGAAGUUGAUUUAAAUGACUGAUAAUGUGUAUGAAAGCACUGUAAAACAUAAGAGAAAAACCAAUUAGUGUAUUGGCAAUCAUGCAGUUAACAUUUGAAAGUGCAGUGUAAAUUGUGAAGCAUUAUGUAAAUCAGGGGUCC
rnacentral:lncRNA from 1 species